UUAAACAAUGCUUGACUGUGCCAUUGAUGUAAUGCUGCCGUCAGAUUAACUUACCUUCUUACUAUUGUCAACCAGACAAAUUCUACCCUGAUGUGGAGGCUGUGCCCUGUCUUCAUCAUCUCAGUAGUCUUCCUCACUGCAGUCUGUGUGUUCUGCUCUCCCUGUGGUCAACAUGAGUAUCUAACAGACCAGCACACAUGCUGCCCUAUGUGCAAUCCUGGGUUCCAUGUGGUCAGUCACUGUUCAGAACCGAAUCAUACAACAUGUGAGCCUUGUCCAGAAUCCUCUUUUACUGAUGAACUCAGUGGACUUCUUCAGUGCAGACCCUGCGCAGUUUGUGAUCCA